rnacentral:rRNA from 1 species
AGCAGCCGCGGUAAUUCCAGCUCCAAUAGCGUAUAUUAAAGUUGUUGCAGUUAAAAAGCUCGUAGUUGAAUUUCGGGAUCGGCAUGUUGGUCGUGCCUUACGGGGUAUGAACUGGCAUCGUCGGUUUCUCACCUUCUGGAGAAUCGUGAUGCUCUUAAUUGGGUGUUACGUGGAUCCAGGACCUUUACCUUGAAAAAAUUAGAGUGUUUAAAGCAGGCAUUUUGCUCGAAUACAUUAGCAUGGAAUAAUAAAAUAGGACGGUUUGGUCUAUUUGUUGGUUUCUAGGAUCACCGUAAUGAUUAAUAGGGAUAGUUGGGGGCAUUAGUAUUCAAUUGUCAGAGGUGAAAUUCUUGGAUUUAUUGAAGACUAACUACUGCGAAAGCAUUUGCCAAGGAUGUUUUCAUUAAUCAAGAACGAAAGUUAGGGGAUCGAAGACGAUCAGAUACCGUCGUAGUCUUAACCAUAAACUAUGCCGACUAGGAAUCAGACGAUGUUAAUUUUUUAAUGACUCGUUUUGGCA